rnacentral:rRNA from 1 species
UACGUAGGGUGCAAGCGUUGUCCGGAAUUAUUGGGCGUAAAGAGCUCGUAGGCGGUUUGUCGCGUCUGCCGUGAAAACCCGAGGCUCAACCUCGGGCCUGCAGUGGGUACGGGCAGACUAGAGUGCGGUAGGGGAGAUUGGAAUUCCUGGUGUAGCGGUGGAAUGCGCAGAUAUCAGGAGGAACACCAAUGGCGAAGGCAGAUCUCUGGGCCGUAACUGACGCUGAGGAGCGAAAGCGUGGGGAGCGAACAGG